rfam:Myotis davidii contig108372, whole genome shotgun sequence.
GGCAAUUGUGUGUUGUACCCUGGAAUCAGGCUCCCUCCUCUCUGGUUCCAGGUGCAUCACCCAAGGACCGCA